rnacentral:rRNA from 1 species
GACGAACGCUGGCGGCGUGCUUAACACAUGCAAGUCGAGCGAUGAAGCACCUUCGGGUGUGAAUUAGCGGCGAACGGGUGAGGAACACGUGAGAAAUCUGCCUUCAACACUGGGAUAACUCCGGGAAACCGGGGCUAAUACCGGAUAUGAAACCUGCGGGCAUCCGCGGGUUUGGAAAGUUUUUCGGUUGAAGAUGAUCUCGCGGCCUAUCAGCUUGUUGGUGAGGUAAUGGCUCACCAAGGCGACGACGGGUAGCCGGCCUGAGGGGGCGAACGGCCACCCUGGGACUGAGACACGGCCCAGAGUGCUACGGGGGGCAGCAGUGGGGAAUAUUGGGCAAUGGAGGAAACUCUGACCCAGCGACGCCGGGCGCGGGAUGAAGGCCUUCGGGUUGUAAACCGCUUUCAGCAGGGAAGUAGCGAAAGUGACGGUACCUGCAGAAGAAGCACCGGCUAACUGUGUGCCAGCAGCCGCCGUAA